rfam:Atta cephalotes unplaced genomic scaffold scaffold00029, whole genome shotgun sequence.
CAAAUGGCCCUUUUCAGGGCUACCACAAACUGUAUAUAAACUGCCUU